rnacentral:rRNA from 1 species
GACGAACGCUGGCGGCGUGCUUAACACAUGCAAGUCGAACGGAAAGGCCCUGCUUUUGUGGGGUGCUCGAGUGGCGAACGGGUGAGUAACACGUGAGUAACCUGCCCUUGACUUUGGGAUAACUUCAGGAAACUGGGGCUAAUACCGGAUAGGAGCUCCUGCAGCAUGGUGGGGGUUGGAAAGUUUCGGCGGUUGGGGAUGGACUCGCGGCUUAUCAGCUUGUUGGUGGGGUAGUGGCUUACCAAGGUUUUGACGGGUAGCCGGCCUGAGAGGGUGACCGGCCACAUUGGGACUGAGAUACGGCCCAGACUCCUACGGGAGGCAGCAGUGGGGAAUAUUGCACAAUGGGCGGAAGCCUGAUGCAGCAACGCCGCGUGCGGGAUGACGGCCUUCGGGGUGUAAACCGCUUUCGCCUGUGACGAAGCGUGAGUGACGGUAAUGGGUAAGGAAGCACCGGCUAACUACGUG